AGCCUCUGUGCUGUCUCUGAAAGUACGGGUUCUAUUGUCCCAGGCCUGCUUCCUCCUUGGGAGGAUGAGAUGACCAAGGAGGGUCCGCUGGUCCCACCGCUGGGUUUGUUAUCCAUGACUCCGUGCUGGAGCCCACGUGGGCAGUCUUACAACAGGGAGAUCGCCAUGGAUUGUGCAGAUCAUGGCUAACACAGGACAAGUUUCCUCAGACUGAAGGGACGCUCUUGUUUCCAUGGAACCUUUGCGAGGAGAUCCUUCUGGAGGAAUAGCUGGGGAGAGGGGAGGCAUCCAUCAGCCUUGGACCAAAGGAGAAAUUCCCAGGAACAGGAAAAGCAGACCGGGCUGUCCACAUACUGUUCCCCAAACAGCACAGCCCCGGAGUGCGCAUUUCACCUGACACCUCAGAGAGAUUGGUCAACGUGGUGUCCUGGCUGGAGCCCCAAUGCCUCUGGACUGGAUCACAGGAGAAUUCCUUACCCGUCUCGGACACAAGAGCAGAAUAAACACAAAUAAGCUCCCUUGUCUAAAUAAACUGAG
rnacentral:lncRNA from 1 species